rnacentral:rRNA from 1 species
CCUACGGGAGGCAGCAGUAGGGAAUAUUGCUCAAUGGGGGAAACCCUGAAGCAGCAACGCCGCGUGGAGGAUGAAGGUUUUAGGAUUGUAAACUCCUUUUGUUAGAGAAGAUUAUGACGGUAUCUAACGAAUAAGCACCGGCUAACUCCGUGCCAGCAGCCGCGGUAAUACGGAGGGUGCAAGCGUUACUCGGAAUCACUGGGCGUAAAGAGUGCGUAGGCGGGGUAAUAAGUCAGAUGUGAAAUCCUGUAGCGUAACUACAGAACUGCAUUUGAAACUGUUAUUCUUGAGUAUGGGAGAGGUAGGUGGAAUUCUUGGUGUAGGGGUAAAAUCCGUAGAGAUCAAGAGGAAUACUCAUUGCGAAGGCGACCUGCUAGAACAUAACUGACGCUGAUGCGCGAAAGCGUGGGGAGCAAACAGGAUUAGAUACCCCGGUAGUC